CCUACGGGUGGCAGCAGUGAGGAAUAUUGGUCAAUGGGCGUAAGCCUGAACCAGCCAAGUCGCGUGAGGGAUGAAGGUUCUAUGGAUCGUCAACUUCUUUUAUAAGGGAAUAAAGUGUGGGACGUGUCCUGCUUUGUCUGUACCUUAUGAAUACGGAUCGGCUAACUCCGUGCCAGCAGCCGCGGUAAUACGGAGGAUCCGAGCGUUAUCCGGAUUUAUUGGGUUUAAAGGGUGCGUAGGCGGCCUUUUAAGUCAGCGGUGAAAGUCUGUGGCUCAACCAUAGAAUUGCCGUUGAAACUGGGUGGCUUGAGUAUAUGUGAGGCAGGCGGAAUGCGUGGUGUAGCGGUGAAAUGCGUAGAUAUCACGAAGAACACCAGUUGCGAAGGCAGCCUGCCAAGCCAUAACUGACGCUGAUGCACGAAAGCGUGGGGAUCAAACAGGAUUAGAUACCCGAGUAGUC
rnacentral:rRNA from 1 species